GACGAACGCUGGCGGCGUGCCUAAUACAUGCAAGUUGAGCGAUGAAGAUUGGUGCUUGCACCAAUUUGAAGAGCAGCGAACGGGUGAGUAACGCGUGGGGAAUCUGCCUUUGAGCGGGGGACAACAUUUGGAAACGAAUGCUAAUACCGCAUAACAACUUUAAACAUAAGUUUUAAGUUUGAAAGAUGCAAUUGCAUCACUCAAAGAUGAUCCCGCGUUGUAUUGGCUAGUUGGUGAGGUAAAGGCUCACCAAGGCGAUGAUACAUAGCCGACCUGAGAGGACGAUCAGCCACAAUGGGACUGAGACACGGCCCAAACUCCUACGGGAGGCAGCAGUGGGGAAUUUUGGACAAUGGGCGAAAGCCUGACCCAGCAAUGCCGCGUGAAGGAUGAAGGCUUUCGGGUUGUAAAAUGCUUUUGUAAGGAAAGAACGGGGGUCUGGUAAGAAAGGAGGGUCAUGACGGUAAACUAACCAUAAGGACCGGCUAAAUACGUG
rnacentral:rRNA from 1 species